rnacentral:lncRNA from 1 species
CGAGAGGAUGGGGAGGAGGGGGCGGGAUAUCUGAUCUAUCCGGGUCCCUUCUUUUCUUCCUACUGAUGAAGAAAAAGAAAAAAGAAAGAACCCCGUGCCGGCCCCUCAACCAUUCCUACGCAACGAUUUUCGAUUUUUCGGAUUUUCGAUUUUUCAGCGUUCGGACCGGCAGAGGAGGGGAGAAUUCUAACAAUUCCUUACAGCAGUAAACAAGCAACUUACAAAACAGAGCUGGUGGGGGAAACCGCGCUGCUUUGUUAUCGCUCCAAAGAAGCUGAAAGGGACAAGCCGCUUGCUCCUGGACGAUUAUUUUAAUUAAAAUACGAUGAUGAUAAUGAUGUAGAUGAUGACAUUAGCAACUACAAUAACUGGCAAAACAAAAUCCUUUCUUCUGGAGCUAGGGCGGCACUGACGGUCUCUCCAUGAAGCCCGGCCCCAGCCACCAAUGCGACGGGUACCCGACCCACGCGGGAAUGUCGCUCACCCGGGGAAGGGGUGGAAAACUGUUUCUUGGAGAUGAUCCCGAGGGUCCCCACCCGAGGCGCGAGGCCUGGAGAAUGCGCCCAUUGUCUUUUCCGGGCCUCGCCCACAGACCCCAAGGCCGCACCGCGAAACUGACCAGAAAUGGACGAAGCCUGAGUGCGUCGGGAACGAAGCCGGUGGCUACCGGCUUGAAGGCGCGGGCCUCGGCGGGCGCUGCUCAGCUUCAAGCCUGAAGAACCUCCCACUCACUGACAAACCCCUCAAACACCGAGGCACAGACUGGCCUCCGGACAGAGCGGCCGCCGACCGGGCUCCGUCUGCCCCUCCAAGCCGACACUGGCUUCCGAAUAUAUCAUAAUAUGGAAUAAAACGUGAAAUCCUUC